GGGCCUGCCAGGAAUCGAUGGCAGAAUCAGACUACUUUUACAAUCAAGUCUGGGGGUGUUCACCCAGUUAUAGCCGGACACAAAUGACUACACGCAAACGUAUUCACACAGGCUCGUAACGCAUUUAGCGUUCAAAUGCCUGCUCUAGCACUCGCUUAAUAGCUGAGGCUCAUCAAACUCGCGACAUCUACUAGUGAGAUCUUGGUGUUAUAUAAGUAGAUAUGAGCCUUCCCUGCUGACUUUGGAAGAACUCAAGAUUUGCAAGUCAGAACUAUCCAACAUUUUUUCUGCGCUUUAUAUGUUGGGUUGUAAAUAAGCGCGGAUAAACUUGUAAGCAAUUGUUUGGGGGUCUCUGACCAGACGGGAGUUCAAUUCUCCCCAGGUCCACCA
rnacentral:tmRNA from 2 species